rnacentral:rRNA from 1 species
UGCCAGCCGCCGCGGUAAUACGUAGGGGCCAAGCGUUAUCCGGAUUUACUGGGCGUAAAGGGCACGCAGGCGGCCAUUUAAGUCUGGCGUGAAAUCUCUCGGCUUAACCGGGAGAGGUCGUUGGAAACUGAAUGGCUUGAGGCAGUGAGAGGGGUGUAGAAUUCCUGGUGUAGUGGUGGAAUGCGUAGAUAUCAGGAGGAAUACCAGUGGCGAAAGCGGCACCCUGGCACUGUUCUGACGCUCAUGUGCGAAAGCGUGGGGAGCGAACGGGAUUAGAUA